AGCAGCCGCGGUAAUUCCAGCUCCAAUAGCGUAUAUUAAAGUUGUUGCAGUUAAAAAGCUCGUAGUUGAAUUUCGGGAUCAAAGGAUCGGUCAUGCCUUGGUAUGUACUGGUUUUAUUGGUUCUCACCUUCUAAAGAACCAUAAUGUCAUUCAUUUGAUGUUAUGGGGAAUUAGGACUGUUACCUUGAAAAAUUAGAGUGUUUAAAGCAGGCUUACGCUUGAAUACAUUAGCAUGGAAUAAUGAAAUAGGACAUCAGAUUCUAUUUUGUUGGUUUCUAGGAUCGAUGUAAUGAUUAAUAGGGAUAGUUGGGGGCAUUAGUAUUCAAUUGUCAGAGGUGAAAUUCUUGGAUUUAUUGAAGACUAACUACUGCGAAAGCAUUUGCCAAGGAUGUUUUCAUUAAUCAAAGAACGAAAGUUAGGGGAUCGAAGACGAUCAGAUACCGUCGUAGUCUUAACCAUAAACUAUGCCGACCAGGGAUCGGAUGAUGUUAAUUUUUAAUGACUNAU
rnacentral:misc_RNA from 1 species